GCUAGCAGUSWGCUGGCAGAGCCUGUCCCAGCCGUGAGGCUGAUCCGCAGGCAAAUCCGCGGAUCGCAAAGGCCAAGCGGUGACGGCGACGGAGUAAUCCGGAAGUCCCCGAUUUCACACUGCCAAGAAAAGCCUCUAGCGAGGGAAGAGGUGCCCGUACCGCAAACCGACACAGGUAGGCGAGGAGAGAAUCCUAAGGCGCGCGGGAGAACUCUCGUUAAGGAACUCGGCAAAAUGACCCCGUAACUUCGGGAGAAGGGGUGCUCUUUGGGGUGAAGAGCCUUGAAGAGCCGCAGUGAAAAGGCCCAAGCGACUGUUUAUCAAAAACACAGGUCUCUGCGAAGCCGAAAGGCGACGUAUAGGGGCUGACACCUGCCCGGUGCUGGAAGGUUAAGGGGAGCGCUUAGCGGAAGCGAAGGUGCGAACCGAAGCCCCAGUAAACGGCGGCCGUAACUAUAACGGUCCUAAGGUAGCGAAAUUCCUUGUCGGGUAAGUUCCGACCCGCACGAAAGGUGUAACGACUUGGGCGCUGUCUCAACGAGAGACCCGGUGAAAUUAUACUACCUGUGAAGAUGCAGGUUACCCGCGACAGGACGGAAAGACCCCGUGGAGCUUUACUGCAGCCUGAUAUGGAAUUUUGGUAUCGCUUGUACAGGAUAGGUGGGAGCCUGGGAAGCCGGAGCGCCAGCUUCGGUGGAGGCGWCGGUGGGAUACCACCCUGGCGGUAUUGAAAUUCUAACCCGCACCCCUUAUCGGGGUGGGAGACAGUGUCAGGUGGGCAGUUUGACUGGGGCGGUCGCCUCCCAAAAGGUAACGGAGGCGCCCAAAGGUUCCCUCAGAAUGGUUGGAAAUCAUUCGGAGAGUGCAAAGGCACAAGGGAGCUUGACUGCGAGACGGACAGGUCGAGCAGGGACGAAAGUCGGGCUUAGUGAUCCGGUGGUUCCGCAUGGAAGGGCCAUCGCUCAACGGAUAAAAGCUACCCCGGGGAUAACAGGCUGAUCUCCCCCAAGAGUCCACAUCGACGGGGAGGUUUGGCACCUCGAUGUCGGCUCAUCGCAUCCUGGGGCUGUAGUCGGUCCCAAGGGUUGGGCUGUUCGCCCAUUAAAGCGGUACGCGAGCUGGGUUCAGAACGUCGUGAGACAGUUCGGUCCCUAUCCGUCGCGGGCGSAGGAAAUUUGAGAGGAGCUGUCCUUAGUACGAGAGGACCGGGAUGGACGCACCGCUGGUGUACCAGUUGUCCCGCCAGGGGCACCGCUGGGUAGCUAUGUGCGGACGGGAUAAGCGCUGAAAGCAUCUAAGCGUGAAGCCCCCCUCAAGAUGAGAUUUCCCACCGCGCAAAGCGGGUAAGAUCCCUCGAAGAUGACGAGGUCGAUAGGUCCGAGGUGGAAGCGUGGCGACACGUGGAGCUGACGGAUACUAAUCGAUCGAGGGCUUGACCUAU
rnacentral:rRNA from 1 species